rnacentral:rRNA from 1 species
UUCUAUGACGUUAGCGGCGGACGGGUGAGUAACACGUGGGCAACCUGCCUGUAAGACUGGGAUAACUCCGGGAAACCGGAGCUAAUACCGGAUAACAUUUUUUCUUGCAUAAGAGAAAAUUGAAAGAUGGUUUCGGCUAUCACUUACAGAUGGGCCCGCGGUGCAUUAGCUAGUUGGUGAGGUAACGGCUCACCAAGGCAACGAUGCAUAGCCGACCUGAGAGGGUGAUCGGCCACACUGGGACUGAGACACGGCCCAGACUCCUACGGGAGGCAGCAGUAGGGAAUCUUCCGCAAUGGACGAAAGUCUGACGGAGCAACGCCGCGUGAGUGAUGAAGGCUUUCGGGUCGUAAAACUCUGUUGUUAGGGAAGAACAAGUACAAGAGUAACUGCUUGUACCUUGACGGUACCUAACCAGAAAGCCACGGCUAACUACGUGCCAGCAGCCGCGGUAAUACGUAGGUGGCAAGCGUUAUCCGGAAUUAUUGGGCGUAAAG